GCCCAGUGGAUCGGAGCGCGACGAAAGGUCUGGUGGGUGGCUCAGAGAAUUCCAAGGGGGAAAGGCUUUGCAGAAAUAAGUUAAGGUGGAAGAACCGGGAAGUGCACCUAGGGCCACGUUCAGUAGUCUUCAUUACAUCUGCGAGGUGCGUCGAAUGGCAAAAGAGAAAGAUGACUAGUGGCGAAAUGGACACUUAAACUGGCCAACCAGCCAGCCAAACAGGCGGCGAGCAGGCAAUUAACCGAUUUUUAAAUAUGUUUGGCCGGCUUUAUGACUCGAUUACAGCUGCCCAAGACCGGAGCUCAGGGCCAAGAGCAGAACUUUUCACGAGCGUUGUAAAUGCGAUUUAUUUCGAUUAUGGAAAGUCGCUGAUUUGGAACUAAUUGCCAAAAGGAUUGGCACCUCGACUUGUAAAAGAGGCUUGAGUGGCUGAGCCUACAGUGCGAUAUAGAGGUGAUCACUUAAAUUGAACACAAAAGAACCUAAUUAAAAGUAUAAUUUAGAAUUUUAGAUUCUUUAGAAAUACUUUUGAACUGAACUGGAGUUUUUAUUGCCACAUAAGCAGUCACUCAAGUUAUUUCUGAUGGACACACAGAAUUGGUCUGAACAUUAAGUAAAAGCUUUUACUUGUAUUUCUUGGGAGUGGGCACCAACAUAUCGCUGGUUUGCUUUAAACUUAGCCUAAAGUGCAUUGCAACAGAGGUAAUCGACUGGUUAAGGAGAGAAUCUUAAGGUUGUUCAAAAAUAAGUUAAUCAGGCUAUUACCAACAUAAAUCAAGCUCCACUAGUUAUCCUCAGUGGGCAAACCUAUCUCGUAACUCAAAGGCAGAUCGGGGCAGCGCCUAUUCCGUGGUCAAUUAGGUAUUGAAAUUAUUACAGAGCACUUGGCAUUCAUAUUCAGGCAUUUCGCAUUCGAUCGAACUCGAAUUGUCGCCGCGAAUUGUCAUAACUCUCGAUGUCGUCGCAUAACUCACCCGAUAUCUGGAUAUCUGGAUGCUCG